CGGGACGGGUGGAGGAAGUAACAUCGGAAUCUACUCUGUCGUGGGGGAUAACGUAGGGAAACUUACGCUAAUACCGCAUACGUCCUACGGGAGAAAGCAGGGACCUUCGGGCCUUGCGCUAUCAGAUGAGCCUAGGUCGGAUUAGCUAGUUGGUGAGGUAAUGGCUCACCAAGGCGACGAUCCGUAACUGGUCUGAGAGGAUGAUCAGUCACACUGGAACUGAGACACGGUCCAGACUCCUACGGGAGGCAGCAGCA
rnacentral:rRNA from 1 species